UACGUAGGGACCAAGCGUUGUUCGGAUUUACUGGGCGUAAAGGGCGCGUAGGCGGCUUGACAAGUCACUUGUGAAAUCUCCGGGCUUAACUCGGAACGGCCAAGUGAAACUGUCAUGCUAGAGUGCAGAAGGGGCAAUCGGAAUUCUUGGUGUAGCGGUGAAAUGCGUAGAUAUCAAGAGGAACACCUGAGGUGAAGACGGGUUGCUGGGCUGACACUGACGCUGAGGCGCGAAAGCCAGGGGAGCAAACGGGG
rnacentral:rRNA from 1 species